rnacentral:rRNA from 1 species
UACGUAGGGUGCGAGCGUUAAUCGGAAUUACUGGGCGUAAAGCGUGCGCAGGCGGUUUUGUAAGCCAGAUGUGAAAUCCCCGGGCUUAACCUGGGAAUGGCAUUUGGGACUGCAAGGCCUGAGUUUGGCAGAGGAGACUGGAAUUCCUGGUGUAGCAGUGAAAUGCGUAGAUAUCAGGAGGAAUACCGAUGGCGAAGGCAGGUCUCUGGGCUGAAACUGACGCUCAUGCACGAAAGCGUGGGGAGCAAACAGG